UACGUAGGGUGCAAGCGUUGUCCGGAAUUAUUGGGCGUAAAGAGCUCGUAGGCGGUCUGUCGCGUCUGGUGUGAAAAUCCAGGGCUUAACCCUGGACCUGCAUCGGGUACGGGCAGACUAGAGUGCGGUAGGGGAGAUCGGAAUUCCUGGUGUAGCGGUGAAAUGCGUAGAUAUCAGGAGGAACACCGGUGGCGAAGGCGGCUACCUGGACAGAAACUGACGCUGAGGCACGAAAGCUAGGGGAGCAAACAGG
rnacentral:rRNA from 1 species